UGGGGAAUCUUCCGCAAUGGACGAAAGUCUGACGGAGCAACGCCGCGUGAGUGAUGACGGCCUUCGGGUUGUAAAGCUCUGUUAAUCGGGACGAAAGAGCCUUGUGUGAAUAAUGCGAGGAAGUGACGGUACCGGAAUAGAAAGCCACGGCUAACUACGUG
rnacentral:rRNA from 1 species